rnacentral:siRNA from 1 species
CAACGUUUUUAAUGCCGACGUAAA